AUUGAACGCUGGCUGCAGGCCUAACACAUGCAAGUCGAGCGAGCGGCGGACGGGUGAGUAAUGUCUGGGAAACUGCCUGAUGGAGGGGGAUAACUACUGGAAACGGUAGCUAAUACCGCAUACCAUCAGAUGUGCCCAGAUGGGAUUAGCUAGUAGGUGGGGUAACGGCUCACCUAGGCGACGAUCCCUAGCUGGUCUGAGAGGAUGACCAGCGACACUGGAAAUAAGAAACGGUCCAGACUCCUACGGGAGGCAGCAGUGGGGAAGAUUGACCAAUGGGCGCAAGCCUGAUGCAGACAUGCCGAGUGUGUGAAGAAGGCCUUCGGGUUGGAAAGCACUUUCAGCGGGGAGGCGUUACCCGCAGAAGAAGCACCGGCUAACUCAGUGCCAGCAGCCGCGGUAAUUC
rnacentral:rRNA from 1 species